rnacentral:rRNA from 1 species
GACGUAGGGUGCGAGCGUUGUCCGGAAUUACUGGGCGUAAAGAGCUCGUAGGUGGUUUGUCGCGUUGUUCGUGAAAUCUCACGGCUUAACUGUGAGCGUGCGGGCGAUACGGGCAGACUAGAGUACUGCAGGGGAGACUGGAAUUCCUGGUGUAGCGGUGGAAUGCGCAGAUAUCAGGAGGAACACCGGUGGCGAAGGCGGGUCUCUGGGCAGUAACUGACACUGAGGAGCGAAAGCGUGGGGAGCGAACGGG